rnacentral:rRNA from 1 species
UACGGAGGGUGCAAGCGUUAUCCGGAUUCACUGGGUUUAAAGGGUGCGUAGGUGGGUCUGUAAGUCAGUGGUGAAAUCUCCGAGCUUAACUUGGAAACUGCCAUUGAUACUAUAGAUCUUGAAUAUUGUGGAGGUCAGCGGAAUAUGUCAUGUAGCGGUGAAAUGCUUAGAUAUGACAUAGAACACCAAUUGCGAAGGCAGCUCACUACGGAUAUAUUGACACUGAGGCACGAAAGCGUGGGAUCAAACAGG